CUAUAGCUCAGCUGGAUAGAGCAACGGCCUUCUAAGCCGUGGGUCGGAGGUUCGAAUCCUCUUAG
rnacentral:tRNA from 1 species